CAUGCAAGUCGAACGGCAGCACGGGGGCAACCCUGGUGGCGAGUGGCGAACGGGUGAGUAAUGCAUCGGAACGUGCCCUAUCGUGGGGGAUAACCAGUCGAAAGACUGGCUAAUACCGCAUACGACCUACGGGUGAAAGCGGGGGACCGUAAGGCCUCGCGCGAUUGGAGCGGCCGAUGUCUGAUUAGCUAGUUGGCGGGGUAAGAGCCCACCAAGGCGACGAUCAGUAGCUGGUCUGAGAGGACGACCAGCCACACUGGGACUGAGACACGGCCCAGACUCCUACGGGAGGCAGCAGUGGGGAAUUUUGGACAAUGGGCGCAAGCCUGAUCCAGCCAUGCCGCGUGCGGGAAGAAGGCCUUCGGGUUGUAAACCGCUUUUGGCAGGAACGAAACGGCGCGGGUGAAUACCUCGCGUUAAUGACGGUACCUGCAGAAUAAGCACCGGCUAACUACGUGCCAGCAGCCGCGGUAAUACGUAGGGUGCAAGCGUUAAUCGGAAUUACUGGGCGUAAAGCGUACGCAGCGGCUUUGCAAGACAGGUGUGAAAUCCCCGGGCCUAACCUGGGAACUGCAUUUGUGACUGCAUGGCUAGAGUCUGUUA
rnacentral:rRNA from 1 species